AUUUUGCUUUAGCUUUUGACUUUCUCCUCUUUUAGUGAUUUUGGUAUAUCAAUUGCUUUGAAAACCCCUGCUAGAAAUAUCUAUGUAGUCACUUGAAUUUUUUUGCAACAAAUUGACUAGAGAUGUACAACUCGAUAUCAUCUAGAAUUAGCUAUAAAAGAACACUGAUUUUACACGUUAUACAGCAAGUUCAUCUUAUUUGUCUGUGGUAGACACUUGAACAUGUGAUCGGCUUCAAUAGAUAGACUAGAAUUGGACUGUUUGAUAUCAUAUAGAUCUAAAUACACUCAGUAAAUAAAAUUUAAUAAAGGAAGUGCUUGUUAUGCUACAUAAUAAUGAACUGGUUUCAAUAGAUAUACUAGAAAUGGACUAUUUGAUAUCAACUUACAUAGGCCACACCGUCAUAGUAUGGAUUUUACACACUAGUAACUUGUUAUAUGCAAAUUCUUGAUUAUAGUAGUCCUGCUAAUGAUAUAGAUGUUUCUGUUAUCGAUCCUUCUCAAUACGAGGUACAUGGACUGUUUUGCCCUGUAAGAGUGCAUGCACCGUAAACUAUGGGCAGGGUGGCAGUUAGUGGAUGUGAAGUCUUUUGGUUUGCCGUUUUAUAUGGGGGAUAUAGUCUGUCAGGAUCUCUUGGUAAUGAUGGUCUAGAAAAUAGAGUGGGGACAUGGUAGUGAUGAGUUUACAGGUUUGGUUGCGGCGUUGUGCUCAUUCAAGGAAGUAGCAACAAAGAGGAAACAGAUCUUACUGAAUGGAGAUUCAGUUACAUGUGCGGGUGGCAGUGGUGUACUGGUGCAGAUGAUGGCUUCGUCUGAGUAUGCUAUUGGAGUCAAACUGGAGAUGGAUGAAGUUUUACAUUUGCCUAUAUGAAACCACUCAAGUCAAUUGGCUCAUGUAGGUAUCACAGUGUGUCGAGACUCGAGAGCAUCAAUGGUGUCAAGAAAGGAAAAUGGAAAGCCAUUCUCAGCUUUUACCGUCUCAUUAUUAAAGGUUUACCUUUCUUUUACCUUUCUAACCAUUACAAUACCCCCAUUUCAAAUACCAACUAUGUAGCAUAAAUACCAAAAUUUAAGUUUUACGUGUAAUAUAAGUUGACCUGAAUGUCAAUUAUAAUUCUUGUAUAUGUUUAAUAGAGAAAUGAAAUGCGGCAGAGUUCCCAUGUGAAACUUUCUAGAA